UUGAAUGUAAACUUGGGAUGUUGCUGUACUCACUGGGUAAUGUGCACUCCCUUGAUGUUCAAAUCCACCUGUGCACAAUCAAGUAGGCAUAGAUUGAGUUCUGUGCCUAUGUUUUCCUUACACACACCUAUGUUGUUAACAGAUGGUUUUAUUUAAAUAUAAUCAUUA
rnacentral:misc_RNA from 1 species